rnacentral:rRNA from 1 species
UACGUAGGGACCGAGCGUUAUCCGGAUUCAUUGGGCGUAAAGAGCUCGUAGGCGGCUAUUCAAGUCGAACGUGAAAUCUCGGAGCUCAACUCCGAGCCUGCGUUCGAUACUGGGUAGCUAGAGUCUGGUAGGGGGAUCUGGAAUUCCUGGUGUAGCGGUGGAAUGCGCAGAUAUCAGGAGGGACACCGGUGGCGAAGGCGGCUUCUUGGCCUGUUCUUGACGCUGAGGCGCGAAAGCUGGGGGAGCAAACGGG